UCAGGUUCAGCUAUGAGACCUAGGAAGAAGGCUAGUUUUGAUGGGCCAACUAGAAUUAAGGUCCUUGUGGCCAUUUUCGGUUCACAGCCUUGUAUUGUUUACGCCAUCAGGAUGAUUUUUGGGUGCAGAAGGGGGCAUGUUUCAGGUGUAGAUCAAUGAAGCACAAUAUCAGGGAUUGCCCACGGAGGCCUGAUCAGGUACAAGCUACUGGUUUGGGUACUGUUUAGUCACUGUUUAGUCACAAAGAGGUUUUCAGGAGCCACCGAGAG
rnacentral:lncRNA from 1 species